rnacentral:misc_RNA from 1 species
GUUCUUUAUUGGAUUCUCAGAUUAUAUGUAUAUGAGUGGGUGAGAGGUAUUUUUUGUAGACCAAAAACCUCCUGCUAAUACUUUUAUUGUCCGCCACUAAUUUGCGUGGUUGGGUAAUCAAAAGUUUACUCAUAUGGCUUGAAAGCGAUUUGAGAUGUCGGCUGGGUCCAAGAGACGUGUAUUUCCAGUGGGCUGCUCUCAUUUUGAAAACAUGGGUCGAUAAUUUUCCUGGAUUCUGAACAUUCUGCUUUCUG